rnacentral:rRNA from 1 species
UACGUAGGUGGCGAGCGUUAUCCGGAAUGAUUGGGCGUAAAGGGUGCGUAGGCGGCCUGCUAAGUCUGGAGUGAAAGGUACCGGCUCAACCGGUACAGGCUCUGGAAACUGGCGGGCUAGAGAGCAGGAGAGGGCGGUGGAACUCCAUGUGUAGCGGUAAAAUGCGUAGAUAUAUGGAGGAACACCGGUGGCGAAAGCGGCUCUCUGGCCUGUAACUAACACUGAGGCUCGAAAGCGUGGGGAGCAAACAGG